rnacentral:rRNA from 1 species
ACAGGUGGUCAGGUAGAGAAUACCGAGGCGAUCGGGCGAACUGUGGUUAAGGAACUCGGCAAAUUACCCCCGUAACUUCGGGAGAAGGGGGGCCACAGACCGUGAAACCCCAUGCGGGUGGCAGCGGUAGGUGGCCGCAGAGACCAGGGGGAAGCGACUGUUUACUAAAAACACAGGUCCGUGCGAAGUCGUAAGACGAUGUAUACGGACUGACGCCUGCCCGGUGCUGGAACGUUAAGGGGACCGGUUAGUCCGCAAGGGCGAAGCUGAGAACUUAAGCGCCAGUAAACGGCGGUGGUAACUAUAACCAUCCUAAGGUAGCGAAAUUCCUUGUCGGGUAAGUUCCGACCUGCACGAAUGGCGUAACGACUUCCCUACUGUCUCAACCACAGGCCCGGCGAAAUUGCACUACGAGUAAAGAUGCUCGUUACGCGCGGAAGGACGGAAAGACCCCGGGACCUUCACUAUAGCUUGACAUUGGUACUCGAAUUGAAUUGUGUAGGAUAGGUGGGAGACUAUGAAGCUCGGACGCCAGUCCGGGUGGAGUCAACGUUGAAAUACCACUCUGUUGAAUUUGGGUAUCUAACUUCGGACCGUGAUCCGGUUCUGGGACAGUGUCUGGUGGGUAGUUUAACUGGGGCGGUUGCCUCCUAAAAUGUAACGGAGGCGCCCAAAGGUUCCCUCAGCCUGGUUGGCAAUCAGGUGUUGAGUGCAAGUGCACAAGGGAGCUUGACUGUGAGCCUGACAGGUCGAGCACGGACGAAAGUCGGGACUAGUGAUCCGGCACCGGCGAGUGGAAGCGGUGUCGCUCAACGGAUAAAAGGUACCCCGGGGAUAACAGGCUGAUCUUCCCCAAGAGUCCAUAUCGACGGGAUGGUUUGGCACCUCGAUGUCGGCUCGUCGCAUCCUGGGGCUGGAGUAGGUCCCAAGGGUUGGGCUGUUCGCCCAUUAAAGCGGCACGCGAGCUGGGUUUAGAACGUCGUGAGACAGUUCGGUCCCUAUCCUCCGCGCGCGCAGGAGACUUGAGAAGAGCUGUCCCUAGUACGAGAGGACCGGGACGGACGAACCUCUGGUGUGCCAGUUGUCAUGCCAAUGGCACGGCUGGUUAGCUACGUUCGGAAGGGAUAACCGCUGAAAGCAUCUAAGCGGGAAGCCUGCUUCAAGAUGAGGUCUCCCACCCCCUCGAGGGUUAAGGCCCCCAGCAAGACCACUGGGUUGAUAGGCCAGAAGUGUAAGCCUGGUAACAGGUUCAGCCGACUGGUACUAAUGGCCGAGGACUUCACCUC